GAUGAACGCUAGCGGCAGGCUUAACACAUGCAAGUCGAGGGGUAUUGGUUUUCGGACCAAGAGACCGGCGCACGGGUGCGUAACGCGUAUGCAAUCUACCUUUUGCAGAGGGAUAGCCCAGAGAAAUUUGGAUUAAUACCUCAUAGUGUAGUAGUUUCGCAUGAAACGACUAUUAAAGUUCCAACGGCAAAAGAUGAGCAUGCGUCCCAUUAGCUAGUUGGUAAGGUAACGGCUUACCAAGGCAACGAUGGGUAGGGGUCCUGAGAGGGAGAUCCCCCACACUGGUACUGAGACACGGACCAGACUCCUACGGGAGGCAGCAGUGAGGAAUAUUGGACAAUGGGCGCAAGCCUGAUCCAGCCAUGCCGCGUGCAGGAUGACGGUCCUUUGGAUUGUAAACUGCUUUUGUACAGGAAGAAACACUCCCUCGUGAGGGAGCUUGACGGUACUGUAAGAAUAAGGAUCGGCUAACUCCGUGCCAGCCGCCGCGGUAA
rnacentral:rRNA from 1 species